GGGCCUGCUGGGAGAGCGAGUUCCUGCGCUCGCCGAGGAGUGGGUCCGGAAGCGGCGCCGGAGCGGGUCCGGAAGCGGGCGGUGGAGAAGUCCAGUUGCCCCAAAAUUCUUAGGGAAAUAACGUGCGCGGCGGAGGAGCCCUGUCCUGGAGAAUAACGCGUGAAGAAGACAGUGGACUGGGCAUUUCGUCCAGAUGAAUGAGCAUGGUAGUUAAGUGUAGAAGGUGACCUUCUUCCCUCUGGAGAGACCAGGGAGGGGGGAACCACCGGAGGAGUUUCUAGCGGUUGCAGCUACUUGAGGUUCCAGUCUAAUAACUACGAACUGUUCAUUUCAAGUAGCAUUAAAGUAGAUUUGCUACAGUAACAAUUACACUUGGCUAAGGAAAAUUUGCAAGGCAACAUGGUCUAUUGCAUAGAGCACUGAGCCACAUGUUAACACUGUAACAAACACUUGCUAUUUUGAAAUUUUACGCUUCAUCUUUUGCAAAUCAGAUGCAGGUGCAGAGUGAAUUAAGAGGAGCUGAAUUAAGAGAGAAGCUUGCAUGCACUGCUGUCAAAACCUAAACACACUGGCUUUUUUUUUUUUAACAGUUCCUUUUUUCAAGGUAUAGAUUCUGGGAAGGUAAGGGAAGAUAAAACAGCUUUUCUUUUUCUCUCCUGUUUUUUUUUUUGUUGUUUUUUUUUUGAGACUAGGUCUCACUCUAUUCCCCAUGCUGGAGUGCAGUGGCACAAUCAUAGCUUACAGUAGCCUCGAACAGCGAUCCUCUUGCCUCAGCCUCCAAAGUAGCUGGGACUACAGGCGCGCGCCACAACACCUGGCCAAGCGUUUCUUCCAGAUCAUUCCUUACUGGGUUGCUGGUUCAGUAAAAAUAAAAAAAUAAAAAAUAAUUUAGAAAUGA
rnacentral:lncRNA from 1 species